UCUCCGUUGGUGAACCAGCGGAGGGACCAUUACCGAGUUAUCAACUCCCAAACCCCUGUGAACAUACCCAACGUUGCUUCGGCGGGACCGCCCCGGCGCCCUCGGCGUCCCGGAACCAGGCGCCCGCCGGAGGACCCAAACUCUUGUUUAAACCAUAGUGGCAUAUUCUGAGUCUCACAAGAAAAAUGAAUUAAGACUUUCAACAACGGAUCUCUUGGCUCUG
rnacentral:misc_RNA from 1 species